AGGUUUUGAUGGCAGUUUGAGAGCUGACUGCAGGGCAUCUGGACUCUUAUGAGCUGUUGAUCCACGUUUGAGGAAUCAGACUCUCUCUCUCUGUGUUUCUCCAUAUGGUUUCUGCAGGAUCCAUUAUGGAGCAUCGUGCAGUAUUUCUUUAUUCAUGAUCCACGGAAGAAGAAAAUCCUAUGGGUUUGGAACGACAUGAGUUUGGGCUUCAUACACAAAUCUCAAUGGGAGUGGUCAUCAUCACUUUGCUCUUGUCUUGACGGUUGGGAGACGGGCUUUUGGAGGACUCCUCCCUAGAAGAAUGUGGUUCGGACAGGAUGCUACGUUUGAGGGGGG